ACACACUCUUGAUGAGCUUCAGUCACCUGAAAUGUUUCACUUCACAGGUGUGCCCUGUCAACAGGUGUGCCCUGUCAACAGGUGUGCCCUGUCAGGAUUAAUAAGUGGGAUUUCCUGCCUUCUAAAUGGGGUUGGGACCAUCAGUUGUGUUGUGCAGAAGGUGGAUCCAGCACACAGCUGGUGGUCCUACUGAACACACUGUUAGAAUCUGUAUUACAGCAAGAAAACAGCAGCUAAGU